CCUACGGGGUGCAACAGUGGGGAAUAUUGCACAAUGGGCGAAAGCCUGAUGCAGCAACGCCGCGUGAAGGAAGACGGUUUUCGGAUUGUAAACUUCUAUCAAUAGGGAAGACAGAAAUGACGGUACCUAAUUUAGAAGCCCCGGCUAACUACGUGCCAGCAGCCGCGGUAGUACGUAUUGAGCAAGCGUUAUCCGGAAUUACUGGGUGGAAAGGGAGAGUCGGAUGCAAGGUAAGCGAUAUGUGAAAGCCUUAAGCUUAACUUAAGGAUUGCAUAAGGAACCAUCUAGCUAGAGUACAGGAGUGGAAAGCGGAAUGCCUAGUGUAGCGGUGAAAUGCGUAGAUAUUAGGAAGAACACCAGUGGCGAAGGCGGCUUUCUGGACUGAAACGGACGCUGAGGCUCGAAAGCGUGGGGAGCGAACAGGAUGAGAUACCCGUGUAGUC
rnacentral:rRNA from 1 species